rnacentral:rRNA from 1 species
UACAGAGGGGGCAAGCGUUGUCCGGAAUUACUGGGCGUACAGCGCGCGCAGGCGGUUGCCGACGUGCCGUGUGACAAACGGGGGCUCAACCCCCGAGGGCCACGGUAAACGGGGCGACUUGAGUUCGGGAGAGGGCAGUGGAAUUCCUGGUGUAGCGGUGAAAUGCGUAGAUAUCAGGAGGAACACCGAUGGCGAAGGCAGCUGCCUGGCCUAGCAACUGAACGCUGAGGUGCGAAAGCGUGGGGAGCGAACAGG